rnacentral:lncRNA from 1 species
ACAGAGGGCUCGCCCCCAAGCCCUGAGUUUUUGUUUCAGUAGCUCUGUCGUGGGCAGGGGUAGAGGGAAAAGGACGAGAAUUUUGUUCCCAGGUAAUGCUAAUACUGCUGGUUCAGGGACCAUACUUUGAGAACCACUGAUACAGAGGUAUGAAUGAAAUCAUACGAUAUUUGUCUUUCACUGACUUACUUUGCUUCGCAUAAUACCCUCAAGAUCCAUCUACAUUGUCACAAAUGGUACUAUUUUUCCUUUUUUAUGGCUGAGUAGUAUUCCAUUGUGUGUGUAUAUACACAUACAGACACACACACACCCCACAUCUUCUUUAGGAUCAUGUUAUCUCUCCUGCCAACUUCCUGAUGUCACAUGUCUGCACCUCCAUCUAGAUUCCUUGAUGACAUGCCUUCCCUGUCCCAGAGCUGGAGGCAGUUCUGGAUGUGUGCACAGCAGCCUCUGGGGACCUUCCACAUUUUCCAUCUGCUGCUGGAGCCCAUUUUCUUGAACCUUAGUUUCCUGCCUGAAGACGGGAACAAUUUAUACCCCCUUCUCCAUGAGCUUGGAAGGCUGACAGAGAAGAUUAAGAUCAUUGCCAUCAAGUUUUUAUCUGCUAUAAGCAAAAACAGGAAACCAAGAAAUAAAGGCACAGCUUAGCAAUAGCUUCUGAGUGGGUAACAUGGGAGAAGUUUUUCUUAAAUCCUCUUUCCCAUGUACCUUCCCACCCACAUGUUCUUAGUCAGAUUUAUUUUUUGCAUAUCAGUUUCUGAGGAUGACAAGAAACUUGCCCUUUUCUUAACUAUGGUUUUCAGAAGCAGAUUAUCCUGCGCUUAGUCGAGACCUCUUACUGAACCCUUGGAAUAAAUAAUACCCUGGGCUUAGGAAGUGGGUGUUGAAUAGAGAUUUUAUGACUCAUAAUGGAGUGUCAAAAUAGCCACUGCUGAUGUAUGGGUUCCUUAUCAGUUUUGGAAAUGACCCUGGGUAGAGCCGCACUUUCCUCUUGUAUUGAAAUUCCGUGAUUGAGGGAAAGUUUUAACAAGAACGUUCAGCAUCUCUUGAUAUUUAAAAGUCCCACAUUGAAUGGUGGCAUUUUUCAAAGGGGACUUGAGUUUAGCCUGGAAAGGCAGCUGUCCUCAGAAGAGGGGACCAGAGCAUUUCUCCAGGGUGGGCAGCUCAGGACCUAAGCUGCCAGGAUGAAUGGAGAAAAAGAUUGGCAUUUCCCUAGCCUAUGUCUUGAGGUUCUUGUUCUCAAAGGAGGAUGAGGUCAGGGUUCUACGCUUUCUCCUAGAGUAGAAUGAGAGAUCUCUCAUAAUAUCCAGCAGUUAGCAACAUUUCUAGGGCUCAGACCUUUGCUAUUCUCUCUCCCCUGCUGGAGGAAAUGAAAGGUAUAGUUCUCUCCUUAGGUCUGAGGGCAGCCUCACCUUGAGCUGAGCCCUCUCUUGGGAUAUUAUCUCAACUACCACACUCUCAGCAUAGGCCCCAUUAGUAAAGUCUUCUCAUUAGUGAUUGUUUUGUAGUAAUGAGGUUCUAUGAUAUGCCCCUUAGAUUGUUAGUUCUCCAUGUAGAUACCAUUCAGACAACAAAUAUAUCUACUGUGUUCAUGGUACAGUGGGCUACUUGAAAACAAUAUGAAAUAUAUUUCUAUUCCUCAUGAGUUCAAGAGCCAGUUGGGGAGAUUAAAAAAAACCUAGACAAAGUAGAGAAAAAUACAGGUCAGCUUAAAAUGGAGUGCUAGAUUUUGUGAUUCAGACUAUAGGGCUUAGCAGGAAAGAGGAGAGAGAAGUAAUGUGGGC